UCGCCGCCUCUGCUCCCCAAGAGCCCAGGACAGAAGAACGAGCCAUGCCUUGAAGACAUCAAGCGGCAUUCCCCAAACCCCAUGGUGCUCCAGCAUCACUCCAAAGGCUCAAGGGCGCAUUAGCAGAAUAAGAAGAAAGCAGCUUUGUUUCUCUACCAAAUGUGAUGCCUGGAGCUGCAGCAGCCGUCGAGUAAAAGCCGAGACUACAGAGCCUCUGGCCCCGACACUGCCGUCCCCCCUACGCCAGUGCGUCUGUGGCCAGGAGACCAGAGAGCCUCCAGCCCCGACACUGCCGGCCCCACCACGCCAGUGCUGUCUGUGGCCAGACUUGUACUUGUGUGAGAAAAAGAAAGCUCUAUUUGUUUCAAGCCAAGGUUGUGAGGAUUUCCUGUUUUCUUCAACUUGAAAAGUGAAAGUGUAGUCUCUCAUUCAUAGCUGACUCUUUGUGACUCUAUGGACUGUAACCCUCCAGGCUCCUCUGUCCAUGGAAUUCUCCAGGCAAGGAUACUGGAGUGGAUUGCCAUUUCCUUCUCCAGGAGAUCCUCCCAACCCAGGGAUCGAACCUCGGGUUUCCUGCGUUGCAGGCACAUUCUUUACAGUCUGAGCCACCAAGGAAGCUGACGCUGUAUACUAACACUUAGAAUGCAUCAUAGGUGCUCAGUAAAUAGCUGUUGAAUAAAUUAGGUAAUUAUCCAAA